ACUCCUACGGGAGGCAGCAGUGGGAAUAUUGCGCAAUGGGCGGAAGCCUGACGCAGCGACGCCGCGUGGGGAUGGACGGCCUCGGGCUUGUAAAACCUCUUUCGCCAGGGACGAAGCUUUUGUGACGGUACCUGGAGAAGAAGCACCGGCCAACUACGUGCCAGCAGCCGCGGUAACACGUAGGGUGCGAGCGUUAAUCGGAAUUACUGGGCGUAAAGCGCGUGUAGGUGGCUUGUUAAGCCAGAUGUGAAAGCCCGGCU
rnacentral:rRNA from 1 species